rnacentral:tRNA from 1 species
UCCCUUGUAGUUUAAAUAAAACUUUACUUUUUCAAAGUAAGAAUCCAUGAUGGAAUGGGAA